CUCCUGGUUCCACCUUCAUCACUCUUCCUCCUGUUCUCUCUGUGUUGACAUGUGUUGGAACAGUCAGUGUUGUGGUUCUACUGGUGUUACUGGUUCUGCUGGUGAGACAGUGUGUUCACAGAAAACCUGAAGCUAUACAACAAGAAGCUGCAAAUGAUAACAACACAGGCAUCACAUAUAGUGACAUCAUAUCAUCACAACAUCAGCAAAGGGCAAUCAAACAACUCAGAGACAUUGAUACAGCUGUGGUGUACUCAGCAGUGAGAACUGAAGAUGUCACUUAUGGACAAAUAGCCAUCAACCCAAAGACGAUCAGAGGAAACAAACACGAUACAGGAAACAGGCAUAAUUUGAUACUGUGAACUGCACACACACACUUCAAUGCAGGGUGUGUCUGUUUGAGACUGAAACACUUUAUGUCCUUGGAUACUCAGAACCCAACUAGCAGCAGGUGACAUGGUGCAAAUGUUCAUGAAGUGUUUAAUCUUGUAUAAAAUGUGAGAAAUGUCCUGUAGUUUCAACAUUAAUUUUUGCCAUUUUUCUCAUUUUGUAAUGUAAUGUAAUGUUUUGAAAUGGCAUAGAUUCAACCACAGAUCACCUUGCAUGAGCCACAUGUCAGGUGUGGUCAAACCUGUGUCAUAAGUGAGAAACAAGUUUCAAACUGAUUCAGAUUAGGCCUGUUUUGUCUUGGUACUCCCUUUUAUUAGCGAGAUGAAUUUCUAUUUAAUAUGAGGGCGAUUAAAAAAAAAAAGAGUAGACUGAAUGUAUCAAAUGUUAUUUUUUGAUAUUUAAUUUAGUCUUUUCUAGAGUCUUGAAUGUAAAACCAAAACAGCAACUUCACUACAGUAUGUUCUACUCUAGGUUUCAUGCUGUGAGAACAUGUUUGCUUUGUGCUUUGUGGUGAAGUGCAUCAGUUUGUAGAAACGGAAAAUAAAAGCUCUGUGGUCGUUCACCUUUUUUGCACAAACACCCACGGGUUCAUUCUGGUCAACUGUUUGUUCACAACAGAAGUGUUAAGCAGUGGAAAGAAAUAACCCUAAGGUGUACAGUACUAUUACAGUACCUCCUGUGAAAGUAAGUUACAUGAUUCAUUCUGCAGACACUGAUCCGGCUGCAGUGUAUUCAGCUGUGAGAACAGAAGAAGUCAGUCAUGGACGACAAUUAGCCAUCAGACCAGAGGUACAGCUGCUCAACUAAGCAGUUUACAGUCUUUAAUAUAAGCUAAACACUUCCUCACUCAAGCUCACAGCGUAAAAUAAAAUUAGGUAAACUUAGUAAGAAAAGUGAUAGCUUAAUCACACCCAGAUUUGAGUUUUGUGAAUUUCAUGUUUAUUUGAGACACAUCUAAACUGCUGGCAGUAUGUGAAGAUGCUGAUAUGAGUAAACAUAUUAGUAUAUCUUAUGAAAGUAGUAACUUUAAUGAUGAAAAAAUGUGCUUAUCGAUGACUGUGAUCUGGUGUCUUUGCAGUAUUGAUAAACUUUAGUUCUUAUUUUGUUGUCACGUGGUUCUGUGGGUUUCACUGAGUUGUUGGAUGGAAAAUUUGACUUUUUUGGCUGUAGCUAAGUGCAAGAAACAAACACUAAACUGCAACUGCAGACUAGAGACAACAGUACUAUCUUUCACUAACCAUAUAUUUGAGAGAAAAGCUUCAGAACCGGAUGUGUCUGUUUGAGAC